rnacentral:rRNA from 1 species
AGUGAACGCUGGCGGUAGGCCUAACACAUGCAAGUCGAACGGCAGCACAGUAAGAGCUUGCUCUUACGGGUGGCGAGUGGCGGACGGGUGAGGAAUACAUCGGAAUCUACUUUUUCGUGGGGGAUAACGUAGGGAAACUUACGCUAAUACCGCAUACGACCUACGGGUGAAAGCAGGGGAUCUUCGGACCUUGCGCGAUUGAAUGAGCCGAUGUCGGAUUAGCUAGUUGGCGGGGUAAAGGCCCACCAAGGCGACGAUCCGUAGCUGGUCUGAGAGGAUGAUAGGCCACACUGGAACUGAGACACGGUCCAGACUCCUACGGGAGGCAGCAGUGGGGAAUAUUGGACAAUGGGGGCAAGCCUGAUCCAGCCAUACCGCGUGGGUGAAGAAGGCCUUCGGGUUGUAAAGCCCUUUUGUUGGGAAAGAAAAGCAGCAGGUUAAUACCCCGCUGUUCUGACGGUACCCAAAGAAUAAGCACCGGCUAACUUCGUG